AAGUGGAGCAAUCCAUGAGUAAAGUGGCGUACGGGUGAGUAACACGUGGAUCAUCUACCUCUUAGUGGGGAAUAACCCUGGGAAACCGGGGCUAAUACCGCAUAAGUCCGUGAGGAGAAAGCAGCAAUGCGCUGAGAGAAGAGUCCGCGGCCGAUUAGCUAGUUGGUGAGGUAAUGGCUCACCAAGGCGUCGAUCGGUAGCCGGCCUGAGAGGGCACACGGCCACACUGGCACUGAAACACGGGCCAGACUCCUACGGGAGGCAGCAGUGGGGAAUCUUGCACAAUGGGGGAAACCCUGAUGCAGCGACGCCGCGUGAGCGAUGAAGCCCUUCGGG
rnacentral:rRNA from 1 species